AUUGAACGCUGGCGGCAGGCCUAACACAUGCAAGUCGAGCGGAUGAAGGGAGCUUGCUCCUGGAUUCAGCGGCGGACGGGUGAGUAAUGCCUAGGAAUCUGCCUGGUAGUGGGGGAUAACGUCCGGAAACGGGCGCUAAUACCGCAUACGUCCUGAGGGAGAAAGUGGGGGAUCUUCGGACCACACGCUAUCAGAUGAGCCUAGGUCGGAUUAGCUAGUUGGUGGGGUAAAGGCCUACCAAGGCGACGAUCCGUAACUGGUCUGAGAGGAUGAUCAGUCACACUGGAACUGAGACACGGUCCAGACUCCUACGGGAGGCAGCAGUGGGGAAUAUUCGACAAUGGGCGAAAGCCUGAUCCAGCCAUGCCGCGUGUGUGAAGAAGGUCUUCGGAUUGUAAAGCACUUUAAGUUGGGAGGAAGGGCAGUAAGUUAAUCCAUUGCUGUUUUGACGUUACCAACAGAAUAAGCACCGGCUAACUUCGUG
rnacentral:rRNA from 1 species